AGUCAACCUAACUCGUGGACGUGGAUAACCUCGGGAAACUGAGAAUAAACCACGAUAGAUCAUAGUGCCUGGAAUGGCUUAUGGUCCAAACAGUUUACUGCCAUGGGAUGGGACUGCGGCCUAUCAGCUUGUUGGUGAGGUAAUGGCCCACCAAGGCGAUUACAGGUACGGGCUCUGAGAGGAGAAGCCCGGAGAUGGGUACUGAGACACGGACCCAGGCCCUAUGGGGCGCAGCAGGCGAGAAACCUUAGCAAUGUGCGAAAGCACGACUGGGUCAGUCCGAGUGAUUCCCGAUAAAGGAGUCUUUUGCUUGUCCUAAAAGCACAGGUGAAUAAGGGGUGGGCAAGUCUGGUGUCAGCCGCCGCGGUAAUACCAGCACCUCGAGUGGUCAGGACGUUUAUUGGGCCUAAAGCAUCCGUAGCCGGCUUUGCAAGUCUUCGGCUAAAUCCACUUGCUCAACAGAUGGGCCGCUGGAGAUACUACAGAGCUAGGGAGUGGGAGAGGCAGACGGUAUUCAGUGGGUAGGGGUAAAAUCCUCUGAUCCAUUGAGGACCACCAGUGGCGAAGGCGGUCUGCCAGAACACGUUCGACGGUGAGGGAUGAAAGCUGGGGGAGCAAACCGGAUUAGAUACCCGGGUAGUCCCAGCUGUAAACGAUGCAAACUCGGUGAUGCAUUGGCUUAUGGCCAAUGCAGUGCCGCAGGGAAGCCGUUAAGUUUGCCGCCUGGGAAGUACGGACGCAAGUCUGAAACUUAA
rnacentral:rRNA from 1 species